rnacentral:rRNA from 1 species
AGUGAACGCUGGCGGUAGGCCUAACACAUGCAAGUCGAACGGUAGCACAGUAAGAGCUUGCUCUUACGGGUGGCGAGUGGCGGACGGGUGAGGAAUACAUCGGAAUCUACUUUUUCGUGGGGGAUAACGUAGGGAAACUUACGCUAAUACCGCAUACGACCUACGGGUGAAAGCAGGGGAUCUUCGGACCUUGCGCGAUUGAAUGAGCCGAUGUCGGAUUAGCUAGAUGGCGGGGUAAAGGCCCACCAAGGCGACGAUCCGUAGCUGGUCUGAGAGGAUGAUCAGCCACACUGGAACUGAGACACGGUCCAGACUCCUACGGGAGGCAGCAGUGGGGAAUAUUGGACAAAGGGCGCAAGCCUGAUCCAGCCAUACCGCGUGGGUGAAGAAGGCCUUCGGGUUGUAAAGCCCUUUUGUUGGGAAAGAAAAGCAGCAGGUUAAUACCCCGCUGUUCUGACGGUACCCAAAGAAUAAGCACCGGCUAACUUCGUG